rnacentral:rRNA from 1 species
UACGAAGGGGGCUAGCGUUGUUCGGAAUUACUGGGCGUAAAGCGCACGUAGGCGGACUAUUAAGUCAGGGGUGAAAUCCCGGGGCUCAACCCCGGAACCGCCUUUGAUACUGGUAGUCUCGAGUCCGGAAGAGGUGAGUGGAAUUCCGAGUGUAGAGGUGAAAUGCGCAGAUAUCAGGGGGAACACCAAUGGCGAAGGCAGCUCGCUGGAACGGUACUGACGCUGAGGCGCGAAAGCGUGGGGAGCAAACAGG